GCGCGCUAACCCCCGCCGGACUGUGAAGUGCCCAAGGAGAGACAUAGCCCUGCAGCACACCCCUUCCCGGACCGCGAGUGCCCCGUGAACCCCCAAAUCCGCCGGGACCCCCGCGCGGGCGGGCGCGGGGCAGGCUGGGUGCUGUAGUCCCGGCUUGCCUUCCCCGCUCUCCGGAGUCGUCGUUCCGGCUCCUGCCCUCAGCCGCUCUCUGCCGGCAACCCGCAGCCCCUUCUCACGGCCCCUCGCUCAGCCCGACCCUGAUCUACGUUCUCGGCCUCUGUCGCGCGCUCCUCCCGACCAACCCUUCCCUCCCGGAAAGCAGCCUGCGCUCUCUCAGCUCCUGUUUGUUCCAGAAAGUGCCGCCAGAUUUCCUUGCCUCUAACUGCCUCUAACGGCUAACGCUGCCGCUGGGUCAUCGCAGCGCCUGCCUGGAUAGCUGUGCUGAUACAGAACGCUGUUGUAUGCAGUGAGGCUCAACAUGGCUAGUACAUUCGAGGAAACGCCUACACAUGAUGCUUCUCUUUCUGAAAAUGUUGAUGCUAAAUUGUCCUUUCUACCUGAAAAACUGAGAAAGAAACUGCUUCCUUUUCAGGAGAAAGGCAU